CGGAGGGUGCAAGCGUUGUCCGGUAUUUAUUGGGUUUAAAGGGUGCGUAGGUGGUUUUUUAAGUCUGGUUUGAAAGCUGGUCGCUUAACGAUCAGAUGUGGCUGGAAACUGAAGAACUUGAAUGCGUUGGCGGUAGCCGGAACGGGUCACGUAGCGGUGAAAUGCAUAGAUAUGACCCAGAACACCGAUUGCGGAGGCAGGCUACUACGACGAUAUUGACACUGAGGCACGAGAGCAUGGGUAGCGAACAGGAUUAGAUACCCUGGUAGUCCAUGCCGUAAACGAUGAUUACUGGCUGUUUGCCCGAUAGGGUGAGUGGCUGAGCGAAAGCGUUAAGUAAUCCACCUGGGGAGUACGCUGGCAACAGUG
rnacentral:rRNA from 1 species